UCACAACACCCACCAACGACCUACACUAUUACGUUGGUGCAAUGAAAGAAACACUCAUCACAUGUACAACUACACUCAUUCAAUAAGACCAACCCCCCUCAUAUCCGGUUUCAUUCAAAGUUUGAAACCCUAUCCCUUUCUUUUUUUGUAACCCUUUUCGUCUCAUGACAUCCUUCCACACUAUGCCUCCUUUUCCAAUCUGUAUGUGCUUUUUUUAUUAGAAGAAGAUGUUGAAUGAAGAAAGGUGAUGAAGGAGUUCAGAUCCUCAUGACACAUCUGAAGAUUGAUCCAUAUUUUCAGAUCUAGAUGAAGAUGAACAAGAACGGGAAUGAAAAAGGGUUUAUAAUGCUUUUCAGAUUGCAUGAGGUAGCAAGGGAUGAAGAUAGGGGAAGCCAAGAAAACAGGGCAUAAGAAAUAUGGAUGGUUGAGGUAAGGAUGCAUACAACUAGGUGAUAUAUGAUGAAAACUACUCUUUUAAUUAAAUUUGGUAACACAAUUUAACAUGUGAGCGACAUCACUGCCAAAUUGAAGGCUAAUAGUAAUGGUACCAUUUUAACGUUCAAUGA